rnacentral:rRNA from 1 species
UACGUAGGGGGCUAGCGUUGUCCGGAAUCAUUGGGCGUAAAGAGCGUGUAGGCGGUCCGGUAAGUCCGCUGUGAAAGUCGGGGGCUCAACCCUCGAAUGCCGGUGGAUACUGUCGGGCUAGAGUGCGGAAGAGGCGAGUGGAAUUCCUGGUGUAGCGGUGAAAUGCGUAGAUAUCGUAAGGAAGACCAGUGGCGAAGGCGGGUCUCUGGACAGUUCCUGACGCUGAGGCACGAAGGUCAGGGGAGCAAACGGG